GUCUUUGUAGCUUACCACAAAGCAUAACACUGAAGAUGUUAAGACGAUGCACCACCGCACCCAAAGACA